rnacentral:rRNA from 1 species
GUCUGCUUGAAGAUAUAAGAAGUCUAGCCUGCUCUCUGAAAAUUUUAAGGGCCGCGGUAAUUUGACCGUGCAAAGGUAGCAUAAUAGUUAGUUUUUUAAUUGGAAUCUUGUAUGAAUGGUUGGACAAAAGAAAUACUGUCUCUAUAAUUAUCCUUGAAUUUAACUUUUAAGUGAAAAGGCUUAAAUGUAUUAAAAAGACGAUAAGACCCUAUAAAGCUUCAUAAGACGCUUGUAUUUAGCUAAAAUAAAGAAUAAAAUUUUAAUAUCAGUUCUUAUUUUAUUGGGGAGAUAAAAUUAUAAUUUGGUGUAACUGAGUUUGAAUAAGACAAAAAUAAAUGUUUGUGUAAAUUAAAAGAUCCUUUCUUUGGAUUACAAGUUUAAGUUACUUUAGGGAUAACAGCGUUAUUUUUUUUGAGAGUUCAUAUCGAAAAAAAAGAUUGCGACCUCGAUGUUGAAUUAAAAUUUCUAAAUUAUCGCAGAAGUAAUUUUAGAAGGUCU